rnacentral:rRNA from 1 species
CAGCAGCCGCGGGAAUACGAAGGGUGCAAGCGUUAAUCGGAAUUACUGGGCGUAAAGCGUGCGUAGGCGGUUUGUUAAGUCUGUUGUGAAAUCCCCGGGCUCAACCUGGGAAUGGCAAUGGAUACUGGCAAGCUAGAGUGUGUCAGAGGAUGGUGGAAUUCCCGGUGUAGCGGUGAAAUGCGUAGAGAUCGGGAGGAACAUCAGUGGCGAAGGCGGCCAUCUGGGACAACACUGACGCUGAAGCACGAAAGCGUGGGGAGCAAACAGGAUUAGAUACCCGCGUAGUCCCUGUCUCUUAUAC